rnacentral:rRNA from 1 species
UGGGGAAUAUUGGACAAUGGGCGAAAGCCUGAUCCAGCCAUGCCGCGUGUGUGAAGAAGGUCUUCGGAUUGUAAAGCACUUUAAGUUGGGAGGAAGGGCAGUAAGCGAAUACCUUGCUGUUUUGACGUUACCGACAGAAUAAGCACUGGCUAACUCUGUGCCAGCAGCCGCGGUAAUACAGAGGGUGCAAGCGUUAAUCGGAAUUACUGGGCGUAAAGCGCGCGUAGGUGGUUCGUUAAGUUGAAUGUGAAAGCGCCGGGCUCAACCUGGGAACUGCAUCCACAACUGGCGAACUAUAGUAGGGCAGAGGGUGGUGGAAUUUCCUGGGGAGCGGUGAAAUGCGUAGAUAUAAGAAGGAACACCGGUAGCGGAGGCGACCACCUGGGCUCAUACUGACACUGAGGUGCGAAAGCAUGGAGAGCAAACAGG